rnacentral:rRNA from 1 species
GCCCGUUAAUGGGUGAUGGCGUGCCUUUUGUAGAAUGAACCGGCGAGUUACGAUUUGAUGCAAGGUUAAGCAGUAAAUGUGGAGCCGUAGCGAAAGCGAGUCUGAAUAGGGCGUUUAGUAUUUGGUCGUAGACCCGAAACCAGGUGAUCUACCCUUGGUCAGGUUGAAGUUCAGGUAACACUGAAUGGAGGACCGAACCGACUUACGUUGAAAAGUGAGCGGAUGAACUGAGGGUAGCGGAGAAAUUCCAAUCGAACCUGGAGAUAGCUGGUUCUCUCCGAAAUAGCUUUAGGGCUAGCCUCAAGUGAUGAUUAUUGGAGGUAGAGCACUGUUUGGACGAGGGGCCCCUCUCGGGUUACCGAAUUCAGACAAACUCCGAAUGCCAAUUAAUUUAACUUGGGAGUCAGAACAUGGGUGAUAAGGUCCGUGUUCGAAAGGGAAACAGCCCAGACCACCAGCUAAGGUCCCAAAAUAUAUGUUAAGUGGAAAAGGAUGUGGCGUUGCCCAGACAACUAGGAUGUUGGCUUAGAAGCAGCCAUCAUUUAAAGAGUGCGUAAUAGCUCACUAGUCGAGUGACACUGCGCCGAAAAUGUACCGGGGCUAAACAUAUUACCGAAGCUGUGGAUUGUCCUUUGGACAAUGGUAGGAGAGCGUUCUAAGG